rnacentral:RNase_P_RNA from 1 species
GAAGCAAGCCAGACAGCCGCUGGCUAUCGCCGCAAGGCGAUGGCGGGAGGAAGGUCCGGACUCCAUAGAGCAGGGUGACGGUUAACGGCCGUCCGCCGCGAGGCGAGGAAUAGGGCCACAGAGACGAGCGUAUUAAGUUACGGUGAAACGCGGUAACCUCCACUCGGAGCAAUUCCAAAUAGGCACGCGUUGAGGUUGCUCGCGGAGCGUGCGGGUAGGAAGCUUGAGCCGUGGAGCAAUUCACGGCCUAGAGGAAUGGCUGUCAUAGCGGGGCAACCCGCCGUAACAGAAUCCGGCCUAUCGGCUUGCUUCAUUU